CCUAUCUCUCGUGUGGUUGGUCUAUGGGGCAGACGUGAACAAAUCCUAAAUCCGGAAUAUAGAUUUAGGAUACUAGUUAAGGAUACUAGAACCCUGAGUAAGAGACCAGGAUUUGUAUUCCUAUGUUUCAGUCCAUUCCUUUUUCAUUUCCCUUGUCCCAAAGCCUUUCUCUCUCACUCUCUUGGUGGGGAGUCUGGGGGACAAAGAACAAGCAUAUCGCCAAUGUACAGUGUUUAUGAAAAUUUCCAGUCCAUGAGCAUUGAAGACCAUGAGGUGAUAAUCACUCAGUCCUCUCCAAACGAGUUCGUCAUGUGCACGUUAUCUUCAUUGCUGGCCCAGUCACUCGGACAUCUGCUAGCAAAGAGGAUGGAGGGAUGUUCUUGGGAACAUCCCCUGCUACUCUGCAAUGGAUUCUCCGUGAAACCUCACUGGUAAGUAAGGGAGCUGAACUAGGAAAGUUUGGGUGAGCACCGAGACUUCUUUGUGGACAAUGCUAACUAGGCC
ensembl:lncRNA